rnacentral:snoRNA from 1 species
CCCCUCUCAAGGUCACACCUGGAGAGUUUCCAAUACUCUACCAGUCUUGGCUAUGGGAGAGAGAGUCAAGCAGAGACAUACCCAUUCCAUUCCUAGCUUGGCCAGUGGCUAGCAAGUGGAAGGCAAUCCGCUACAAGU